UCAUUGAGUGGGGGACAAUGAUAUAGUACGAUGCGGUUUGUUGUAGGAUUCCAUGUUGGUGUUCCUCCUGUCCUCCCCAAUUUUUUGAGUCACCAGCCGCCACUGGUAUGUACGCUAAUGAUGCUGUGCGACACAUACGCUUUCUCCUCUAACCGGAAAUGCGCCCAACACAUGCUGCUUAUUCAUCUUUACAAGCGGCUUUGAGUUAUUAUGUUCAGUCAAGACCAAGCAGCUCUGCUCUCCAUUCAGCUAUUAAUUAUGUGCCAUGUCUUUGCAGAAGUUCGUCGAGUUGACUUCAGGGACAUACUGGUGUCUGAGGGAAACGCCACCGUUUUGACUUGCAACAUGACAAAUGCAAAGCAAAUCAGCUGGACCAAAGGAAGAAUACUUUUUACUUUUAAUGUCUUAAACAAUCAGACAUUUUCAAAUGUCACCUCUCAAAGAAUGAGCCUAGACUCAAACUUUCCUUCAAAGCUGAAUAUUCUUGAUGUUCAGCAUGAAGAUGCAGGACUUAAUAAGUGUGAAGUAACUUAUGACAAAGGCGUAAGGAUUACUGAGUGAAUUUAAUCGUUGGAGACGGGGUGUUGGAGAUCUCUAAAGAAGUCAGUUCAUGGAGCUAUUAUCUAUACAUACGUACACCUGUAAUUGGAUUGCUUCUUUGUGGCUUGGCUGCAGCAGUUUGCCUCUGCAGAGCUCAGCUGUUUUCAUAGUGGGCCACAACACCAAACCGGGACCCAGUCCCAGACCAGUUUCCUCUUCAGUCGGGGGGAGAGGUGGUCCCUCCUCAACUGCAGGGUGAUGUGGACCGUAGGACAAAUAACAAGCAGAGGAGUUAGUACUUGGAGAAGCUCAAUUCAAUCUAUGGUCUCUACUGAGCUGAUAUUUAAAUGAAAGCCACAACUUUUAGAACAACCCCAUUUUUCCAGUUUUUAUUAAUAGUUUAAUGUCUUAAUGUACUCUGAGAUUAAAACAUAGAACAAAUAAACUAGAGUUAAAAACAAGAAAUGACGAAAACCUUUUGCUUAACAUUUUCUUGAAUAGUAGGUGAACAAUCAAUAAAUGUAAUAUACUGUAUAUAUUUAAAUUUGAACAAAUCUCAAGACUUUUGUGUUGAUUUUUUUUUUUUCAUUUGGGAAGAAAGAAAGAAAGAAAGAAAGAACUCAUUUACUGUGAUAUCUGUGAAAUGAAGUAGUCAUUUAAAUUGUCCAGCAGGUGUUGAUAAAGUCAAGUGCAUUAAAUUAAAGCCCCAAUCCAUUAUUGGUGCACAUCACUAAUUUUGUCCAGUUGCAAAGGGAAAAUUUAUUAUCUCACUACAUUUAUUAGGCAGCUACAGUUACUAUUAACUUUUUAUGUUAAGUUU